rnacentral:rRNA from 1 species
GACCGAUAGUGAACCAGUACCGUGAGGGAAAGGUGAAAAGCACCCCGGAAGGGGAGUGAAAUAGAACCUGAAACCGUGUGCUUACAAGUAGUCAGAGCCCGUUAAUGGGUGAUGGCGUGCCUUUUGUAGAAUGAACCGGCGAGUUACGAUUUGAUGCAAGGUUAAGCAGUAAAUGUGGAGCCGUAGCGAAAGCGAGUCUGAAUAGGGCGUUUAGUAUUUGGUCGUAGACCCGAAACCAGGUGAUCUACCCUUGGUCAGGUUGAAGUUCAGGUAACACUGAAUGGAGGACCGAACCGACUUACGUUGAAAAGUGAGCGGAUGAACUGAGGGUAGCGGAGAAAUUCCAAUCGAACCUGGAGAUAGCUGGUUCUCUCCGAAAUAGCUUUAGGGCUAGCCUCAAGUGAUGAUUAUUGGAGGUAGAGCACUGUUUGGACGAGGGGCCCCUCUCGGGUUACCGAAUUCAGACAAACUCCGAAUGCCAAUUAAUUUAACUUGGGAGUCAGAACAUGGGUGAUAAGGUCCGUGUUCGAAAGGGAAACAGCCCAGACCACCAGCUAAGGUCCCAAAAUAUAUGUUAAGUGGAAAAGGAUGUGGCGUUGCCCAGACAACUAGGAUGUUGGCUUAGAAGCAGCCAUCAUUUAAAGAGUGCGUAAUAGCUCAC